rnacentral:lncRNA from 1 species
AUGUCUAUAUUAUUUAUUUCUAAUUUUUUGUUUUUUAUUUCCAAUUUUUUUUUAAAUUGAUUUAUCUCGUUCAGUAAUUUUUGUUCUCUAUCUUUUUCUUCUUUUUCCUUUUGUCUUUGUUCAUACAGAUCUUUUAACAUUUGUAGUUCUUUUUCUAAUUCAGCAAUCCUACUAUUUUUAGUUUCUUCUAUUUUUCGUAUUUCUUCCGUAGUUUGUUGUUUUAUUUUUUCUAUUUCCUUUUUCCUAUCUAUNNNN